AGCUAUAGAAUUAAAAUUUGAAUUACAUUCUUCUUAUAUGGAUGAAAUCUAUUAAGGUUUUCUAGAUAUUUAUAAAAUAUAACUUCACUUUUCCCAAAGAAGUGCUUGGUGUAAUUCCAAACAAAAAAAACAUAUAAUAUGACAUCAUACGUGUGUCGUUUUGUGCUUUGGAGUCUAAUUUCUAUCUUAGUUGGAAACUUCUGCUUUUUGGGUACAAAUUCUUCUUUUUUUGAAGUAAUUUUUACUAAAAUUAAUUCCUAGUUCCCUUAUAUAUAUGCCUAUAUGCUUAAUUUU
rnacentral:lncRNA from 1 species